rnacentral:rRNA from 1 species
UACGAAGGGGGCUAGCGUUGCUCGGAAUCACUGGGCGUAAAGCGCACGUAGGCGGAUUGUUAAGUCAGGGGUGAAAUCCCGGGGCUCAAACCCCGGAACUGCCUUUGAUACUGGCAUUCUCGAGUCGGAAGAGGUGAGUGGAAUUCCGAGUGUAGAGGUGAAAUUCGUAGAGAUGCGGAGGAACACCGAUGGCGAAGGCAGCCCCUGGGCUAGCACUGACGCU